rnacentral:rRNA from 1 species
GAUGAACGCUGGCGGCGUGCUUAACACAUGCAAGUCGAACGGAAAGGCCCAAGCUUGCUUGGGUUCUCGAGUGGCGAACGGGUGAGUAACACGUGGGUGAUCUGCCCUGCACUUCGGGAUAAGCCUGGGAAACUGGGUCUAAUACCGGAUAGGACGAUGGUUUGGAUGCCAUUGUGGAAAGUUUUUUCGGUGUGGGAUGAGCUCGCGGCCUAUCAGCUUGUUGGUGGGGUAAUGGCCUACCAAGGCGUCGACGGGUAGCCGGCCUGAGAGGGUGUACGGCGACAUUGGGACUGAGAUACGGCCCAGACGCCUACGGGAGGCAGCAGUGGGGAAUAUUGCACAAUGGGCGCAAGCCUGAUGCAGCGACGCCGCGUGGGGGAUGACGGCCUUCGGGUUGUAAACUCCUUUCGCUAGGGACGAAGCGUUUUGUGACGGUACCUGGAGAAGAAGCACCGGCUAACUACGUG